GUGAAUCAUCGAAUCUUUGAACGCACAUUGCGCCCCCUGGUAUUCCGGGGGGCAUGCCUGUCCGAGCGUCAUUGCUGCCCUCAAGCACGGCUUGUGUGUUGGGCCCCCGCCCCCCGGCUCCCGGGGGGCGGGCCCGAAAGGCAGCGGCGGCACCGCGUCCGGUCCUCGAGCGUAUGGGGCUUUGUCACUCGCUCGUGUAGGUCCGGCCGGCGCCAGCCGACACCCAUCAAUCUUACCCAGGUUGACCUCGGAUCAGGUAGGGAUACCCGCUGAACUUAAGCAUAUCAAUAAGCGGAGGA
rnacentral:misc_RNA from 1 species